CCUACGGGAUGCACCAGUGGGGAAUAUUGGACAAUGGGGGGAACCCUGAUCCAGCCAUGCCGCGUGUGUGAAGAAGGCCUUUUGGUUGUAAAGCACUUUAAGCGAGGAGGAGGCUACCUAGAUUAAUACUUUAGGAUAGUGGACCUUACUCGCAGAAUAAGCACCGGCUAACUCUGUGCCAGCAGCCGCGGUAAUACAGAGGGUGCGAGCGUUAAUCGGAUUUACUGGGCGUAAAGCGUGCGUAGGCGGUCAAUUAAGUCAAAUGUGAAAUCCCCGAGCUUAACUUGGGAAUUGCAUUCGAUACUGGUUGGCUAGAGUAUGGGAGAGGAUGGUAGAAUUCCAGGUGUAGCGGUGAAAUGCGUAGAGAUCUGGAGGAAUACCGGUGGCGAAGGCGGCCCCCUGGACGAAGACUGACGCUCAGGUGCGAAAGCGUGGGGAGCAAACAGGAUUAGAUACCCGAGUAGUC
rnacentral:rRNA from 1 species